rnacentral:rRNA from 1 species
AUGAGCCGCCGCUUUGUCCCCGUCAGCAGACGCAUCUUAGAGCAGAACAUCAAGGCUCCGUACCACGCCGGAGACAUUGGCACCGAGGACGCACUCCACCUGUUUGACGAAUUGCUCCAGGUUGCUGGGCGCUCCUCGAUCCAUGCCAUCAACUGCCUCCUCACCGUUGUCUGCCAUGAUUGCCCUGCGCUCGGCGUCUCCCUCUUCAACCGCGUCGCAAGGUCCAAGGUGGCGCCCUGCAGUAUCACCUAUGCCAUUCUGGUCGACUGCUGCUGCCGCGCUGGCCGCCUGGACCUUGGACACACUGCCAUGGGACACAUCAUCAAGAUGGGAUUUACUGCAGAUGCUAUGAUCACUUUCAGCCACCUACUCAAGGCCAUAUGUGCAGAGAACAAGACCAGCUAUGCAAUGGACAUCGUACUCCGAAUAAUGCCCAUGUUUAACUGCGUACCCAACAAUUUCUCCUACAACAUUCUUUUCAAGGGUCUUUGCAACGAAAGGAGAAGCCAAGAGGCUCUUGAGCUGAUUCACAUGAUGGUACAGCAUGGAGGUAGCUGCCAACCUAAUGUGGUGUCCUAUAACACCGUAGUUGAUGGCCUGUUGAAAGAGGGUGAGGUGGGCAAAGCUUACACCCUAUUUUCUGAAAUGCUGCGUCAGGGGAUAUCACCGGAUGUUGUGACCUGUCGUUCCAUCAUCUCUGGCAUGUGCAAGGUUCAUGCAAUGGACAAGGCUGAGGAGGUUCUUCAACAGAUGCUUGAUAGAAGAAUUCUGCCAGAUGUUGCCACAUAUAAUAGUCUGAUACAUGGAUAUUAUUUAUUAGGACAGUGCGAAGAGGUGGAUCGGAUUUUCAAGGAAAUGUCUAGAAAUGGUGUUCAACCAAAUGUUGUAACUUACACUAUACAGAUGGAUUAUCUUUGCAAGAGCGGAAGAUGCGCAGAAGCUAGGAAGAUUUUUGAUUCUAUGAUCAGUUUGGGCCAAAAACCGGAUGUUUAUACCUACAGUAUUCUACUGCAUGGGUAUGCUAUGGAAAAAUCUUUUCAUGAUAUGCAUUGUCUCAUUGAUUUGAUGGUAGAAAAUGGUAUUGCACCAGAUCAUCAUGUCUACAACAUACUCAUAUCUGCAUGUGCUCAAGAAGAAAUGGUUAGUGACGUAAUGCAUAUAUUUACAAAAAUGCGGCAGCAAGGAUUGAACCCUAAUGUAGCGAACUAUGGAGUGGUUGUAAACUUGCUUUGCAGCAUGGGCCGAAUGGAUGAUGCUAUGUACCAAUACAAUCAAAUGAUAACCGAAGGAUUAGAUCCUGAUAUCAUAGUUUUCAGCACCCUUAUAAGUGGUUUUUGUUCUUGUGGCGCAUGGGAGAGGGUUCAUGAAAUAUUUUCUGAAAUGUUGAAUCGUGGCAUCUAUCCUGAUACCGUGUUCUUCAACAUAAUUAUGGACCACCUUUGCAAAGAGGGAAGGGUUAUGGAAGCCCAGGAUAUCUUCGACCUGAUGGUACACAUGGGUGUGAAGCCUUUUGUCCGUGAUUACAACACACUGAUACAUGGAUACUGUUUAGUUGGUAAGAUG